CGGAGACUAUAAAUUCUGAUAAACUUCCGAUGACGAUUCAACUUCCACAAAAACUUCACAAAACCGACCGAUUCCAGCUAACAACUUAACUACACAUCGGAUUAAAAUCAACAACAGACAUAAUUAAGCUUAACUUAAUCGUACCUUGGCCACUUAUCGAACCAACUCGUCCGACCAAUGCACACGAAUACACUAGUCUUCUCGAUACUCCAAUGCUCCAGCUUCCGAAC
rnacentral:lncRNA from 1 species